GACGAACGCUGGCGGCGUGCCUAACACAUGCAAGUCGAACGAGUCCUCGCUUUCGGGCGAGAGGCGAGUGGCGGACGGGUGAGUAACACGUGAGCAAUCUGUCCCUGUGUGGGGGACAACCCGGGGAAACCCGGGCUAAUACCGCAUGGGCAGGACUUUCGAAGGAAGACCUGGGAAAGAAGGCCCUCUUUACUAAUGGUCUCAUGCAGGGAGGAGCUCGCGGGCUAUCAGCUAGUUGGAGUGGUAACGGCCUACCAAGGCGACGACGGCUACGGGGUCUGAGAGGACGACCCCGCACAUUGGAACUGAGACACGGUCCAGACUCCUACGGGAGGGCAGCAGUGGGGAAUUUUGGGUCAAUGGCCGCAAGGCUGACCCAGCGACGCCGCGUGUGGGAUGACGCCUCUCGGGGUGUAAACCACUGUC
rnacentral:rRNA from 1 species